GCCCGCUCAGAAACUCAAAGGAAUUGACGGGGGCCCGCACAAGCGGUGGAGCACGUGGUUUAAUUCGAUGCAACGCGAAGAACCUUACCUGGUCUUGACAUCCCGGAGACCCUUAGGAAACUAGGGGGUGCUUCCAUCUGGAAGAAUCUGGAGACAGGUGCUGCAUGGCUGUCGUCAGCUCGUGUCGUGAGAUGUUGGGUUAAGUCCCGCAACGAGCGCAACCCUUGCCUUUAGUUGCCAGCAGUUCGGCUGGGCACUCUAAAGGGACUGCCGGUGUUAAACCGGAGGAAGGUGGGGAUGACGUCAAGUCCUCAUGGCCUUUAUGACCAGGGCUACACACGUACUACAAUGGCCGAUACAAAGGGUUGCCAAGCCGCGAGGUGGAGCUAAUCCCAUAAAACCGAUCGUAGUCCGGAUCGCAGUCUGCAACUCGACUGCGUGAAGUCGGAAUCGCUAGUAAUCGUGAAUCAGAAUGUCACGGUGAAUACGUUCCCGGGCCUU
rnacentral:rRNA from 1 species